GACGAACGCUGGCGGCGUGCUUAACACAUGCAAGUCGAACGGAAAGGCCCUGCUUUUGUGGGGUGCUCGAGUGGCGAACGGGUGAGUAACACGUGAGUAACCUGCCCUUGACUUUGGGAUAACUUCAGGAAACUGGGGCUAAUACCGGAUAGGAGCUCCUGCUGCAUGGUGGGGGUUGGAAAGUUUCGGCGGUUGGGGAUGGACUCGCGGCUUAUCAGCUUGUUGGUGGGGUAGUGGAUUACCAAGGCUUUGACGGGUAGCCGGCCUGAGAGGUUGACCGGCCACAAUGGGACUGAGAUACGGCCCAGACGCCUACGGGAGGCAGCAGUGGGGAAUAUUGCACAAUGGGCGGAAGCCUGAUGCAGCAACGCCGCGUGCGUGAUGACGGCCUUCGGGUUGUAAACCGCUUUCGCCUGUGACGAAGCGUGAGUGACGGUAAUGGGUAAAGAAGCACCGGCUAACUACGUG
rnacentral:rRNA from 1 species